UACCCGCUGAACUUAAGCAUAUCAAUAAGCGGAGGAAAAGAAACCAACAGGGAUUGCCUCAGUAACGGCGAGUGAAGCGGCAAAAGCUCAGAUUUGAAAUCUGGUAUCAUUUUGGUGCCCGAGUUGUAAUCUGUAGAGGAGUAUUCGAGUGUAGCUUUGGCUUAAGUUCCUUGGAACAGGGCGUCAUAGAGGGUGAGAACCCCGUUAACGGCCUUAGUCUUAUGCUCAUGUGAAUCUUCUUCAACGAGUCGAGUUGUUUGGGAAUGCAGCUCUAAAUGGGUGGUAAAUUCCAUCUAAAGCUAAAUACUGGCAAGAGACCGAUAGCGCACAAGUAGAGUGAUCGAAAGAUGAAAAGAACUCUGAACAGAGAGUUAAACAGUACGUGAAAUUGUUGAAAGGGAAGCACUUGCUACCAGACUCACUUACAAGCGAUCAACCUCCAUUUUUGUUGGUGCACUCGGUUGUAGGUGGGCCAGCAUCAGUUAUUAGCGGUGGGAUAAAGACCUUGGGAAUGUGGCUUCCUUCGGGGAGUGUUAUAGCCCUUGGUGUAAUACCAUCUGUUGUGACUGAGGACCGCGCUUUAUUGUGAGGAUGCUGGCAUAAUGGUCGUAAGUGACCCGUCUUGAAACACGGACCAAGGAGUCUAACAUCUAUGCGAGUGUUUGGGUGUUAAAACCCUUACGCGAAAUGAAAGUGAAUGGAGGUGGGAACCGCAAGGUGCACCAUCGACCGAUCCGGAUGUCUUCGGAAGGAUUUGAGUAGGAGCAUAGCUGUUGGGACCCGAAAGAUGGUGAACUAUGCCUGAAUAGGGUGAAGCCAGAGGAAACUCUGGUGGAGGCUCGCAGCGGUUCUGACGUGCAAAUCGAUCGUCAAAUUUGGGUAUAGGGGCGAAAGACUAAUC
rnacentral:rRNA from 1 species